UACGUAGGGUGCGAGCGUUACUCGGAAUUACUGGGCGUAAAGCGUGCGCAGGCGGUUUUGUAAGCCAGAUGUGAAAUCCCCGGGCUUAACCUGGGAAUGGCAUUUGGGACUGCAAGGCUCGAGUGCGGCAGAGGAGACUGGAAUUCCCGGUGUAGCGGUGAAAUGCGCAGAUAUCGGGAGGAACACCAAUUGCGAAGGCAGCUCGCUGGGACGUCACUGACGCUGAGACGCGAAAGCGUGGGGAGCAAACAGG
rnacentral:rRNA from 1 species